UGUGGUUUCCGUUGCCUGUGUAAUCAUAUGCGGGCGCGGAAAGUGAACAAGGGAACCGGGUGUGAAUCCCGGACGGUAACCGCCGCUGUAAGCGCUGAGGCCGUAUCCGUUGGUGAAAGCCAGUCAUUGGGGAAACCUGAGAAGGCAGGAUAUGGACGCAGGAGAAUCCUCCAUAAGCGUAAGUCAGAAGACCUACAAAGGAAAAAUCUGUUGU
rnacentral:ncRNA from 2 species